rnacentral:rRNA from 2 species
GUCGAACGAACUCUGGUAUUGAUUGGUGCUUGCAUCAUGAUUUACAUUUGAGUGAGUGGCGAACUGGUGAGUAACACGUGGGAAACCUGCCCAGAAGCGGGGGAUAACACCUGGAAACAGAUGCUAAUACCGCAUAACAACUUGGACCGCAUGGUCCGAGUUUGAAAGAUGGCUUCGGCUAUCACUUUUGGAUGGUCCCGCGGCGUAUUAGCUAGAUGGUGGGGUAACGGCUCACCAUGGCAAUGAUACGUAGCCGACCUGAGAGGGUAAUCGGCCACAUUGGGACUGAGACACGGCCCAAACUCCUACGGGAGGCAGCAGUAGGGAAUCUUCCACAAUGGACGAAAGUCUGAUGGAGCAACGCCGCGUGAGUGAAGAAGGGUUUCGGCUCGUAAAACUCUGUUGUUAAAGAAGAACAUAUCUGAGAGUAACUGUUCAGGUAUUGACGGUAUUUAACCAGAAAGCCACGGCUAACUACGUGCCAGCAGCCGCGGUAAUACGUAGGUGGCAAGCGUUGUCCGGAUUUAUUGGGCGUAAAGCGAGCGCAGGCGGUUUUUUAAGUCUGAUGUGAAAGCCUUCGGCUCAACCGAAGAAGUGCAUCGGAAACUGGGAAACUUGAGUGCAGAAGAGGACAGUGGAACUCCAUGUGUAGCGGUGAAAUGCGUAGAUAUAUGGAAGAACACCAGUGGCGAAGGCGGCUGUCUGGUCUGUAACUGACGCUGAGGCUCGAAAGUAUGGGUAGCAAACAGGAUUAGAUACCCUGGUAGUCCAUACCGUAAACGAUGAAUGCUAAGUGUUGGAGGGUUUCCGCCCUUCAGUGCUGCAGCUAACGCAUUAAGCAUUCCGCCUGGGGAGUACGGCCGCAAGGCUGAAACUCAAAGGAAUUGACGGGGGCCCGCACAAGCGGUGGAGCAUGUGGUUUAAUUCGAAGCUACGCGAAGAACCUUACCAGGUCUUGACAUACUAUGCAAAUCUAAGAGAUUAGACGUUCCCUUCGGGGACAUGGAUACAGGUGGUGCAUGGUUGUCGUCAGCUCGUGUCGUGAGAUGUUGGGUUAAGUCCCGCAACGAGCGCAACCCUUAUUAUCAGUUGCCAGCAUUAAGUUGGGCACUCUGGUGAGACUGCCGGUGACAAACCGGAGGAAGGUGGGGAUGACGUCAAAUCAUCAUGCCCCUUAUGACCUGGGCUACACACGUGCUACAAUGGAUGGUACAACGAGUUGCGAACUCGCGAGAGUAAGCUAAUCUCUUAAAGCCAUUCUCAGUUCGGAUUGUAGGCUGCAACUCGCCUACAUGAAGUCGGAAUCGCUAGUAAUCGCGGAUCAGCAUGCCGCGGUGAAUACGUUCCCGGGCCUUGUACACACCGCCCGUCACACCAUGAGAGUUUGUAACACCCAAAGUCGGUGGGGUAACCUUUUAGGAACCAGCCGCCUAA